rnacentral:rRNA from 1 species
UACGAAGGGUGCAAACGUUGCUCGGAAUUAUUGGGCGUAAAGCGCACGUAGGCGGCUUAGCAAGUUGGAUGUGAAAUCCCUCGGCUCAACCAAGGAAGUGCAUCCAAAACUGCUGAGCUUGAGUACUAAAGAGGAUCGCGGAAUUCCCGGUGUAGAGGUGAAAUUCGUAGAUAUCAGGAGGAACACCGGUGGCGAAGGCGGGUCUCUGGGCAGUAACUGACGCUGAGGAGCGAAAGCGUGGGGAGCGAACAGG